rnacentral:rRNA from 1 species
GAUGAACGCUGGCGGCGUGCCUAAUACAUGCAAGUCGAGCGAACAGACGAGGAGCUUUCUCCUCUGACGUUAGCGGCGGACGGGUGAGUAACACGUGGAUAACCUACCUAUAAGACUGGGAGAACUUCGGGAAACCGGAGCUAAUACCGGAUAAUAUAUUGAACCGCAUGGUUCAAUAGUGAAAGACGGUUUUGCUGUUACUUAUAGAUGGAUCCGCGCCGCAUUAGCUAGUUGGUAAGGUAACGGCUUACCAAGGCAACGAUGCGUAGCCGACCUGAGAGGGUGAUCGGCCACACUGGAACUGAGACACGGUCCAGACUCCUACGGGAGGCAGCAGUAGGGAAUCUUCCGCAAUGGGCGAAAGCUUGACGGAGCAACGCCGCGUGAGUGAUGAAGGUCUUCGGAUCGUAAAACUCUGUUAUUAGGGAAGAACAAAUGUGUAAGUAACUAUGCACGUCUUGACGGUACCUAAUCAGAAAGCCACGGCUAACUACGUG